UACGGGGGGGGCAAGCGUUGUUCGGAAUUACUGGGCGUAAAGGGCUCGUAGGCGGCCAACUAAGUCAGACGUGAAAUUCCUCGGCUUAACCGGGGAACUGCGUCUGAUACUGGAUGGCUUGAGUUUGGGAGAGGGAUGCGGAAUUCCAGGUGUAGCGGUGAAAUGCGUAGAUAUCUGGAGGAACACCGGUGGCGAAGGCGGCAUCCUGGACCGAGAUCGACGCUGAGGCGCGAAAGCUAGGGGAGCAAACGGG
rnacentral:rRNA from 1 species